rnacentral:tRNA from 1 species
GGGCGAGUGGCGGAAUGGUAUACGCACAACACUUAAAAUGUUGCGGGUUUUGCCCAUGAGGGUUCGACUCCCUCCUCGCCCA